rnacentral:piRNA from 1 species
GUCCUUAACACUGAGCUUCCUCCACAGAG